rnacentral:rRNA from 1 species
ACGACUCUCGGCAACGGAUAUCUCGGCUCACGCAUCGAUGAAGAACGUAGCAAAAUGCGAUACUUGGUGUGAAUUGCAGAAUCCCGUGAACCAUCGAGCUUUUGAACGCAAGUUGCGCCCGAAGCCAUCCGGCUGAGGGCACGCCUGCCUGGGCGUCACGCA